rnacentral:rRNA from 1 species
GAUGAACGCUGGCGGCGUGCUUAACACAUGCAAGUCGAACGGAAAGGCUCCUGCUUGCAGGGGUACUCGAGUGGCGAACGGGUGAGUAACACGUGGGUGAUCUGCCCUGCACUUCGGGAUAAGCCUGGGAAACUGGGUCUAAUGCCGGAUAGGACCACAUUUUGGAUGGUGUGGUGGAAAGUUUUUCGGUGUGGGAUGAGCUCGCGGCCUAUCAGCUUGUUGGUGGGGUAAUGGCCUACCAAGGCGUCGACGGGUAGCCGGCCUGAGAGGGUGUACGGCCACAUUGGGACUGAGAUACGGCCCAGACUCCUACGGGAGGCAGCAGUGGGGAAUAGUGCACAAUGGGCGCAAGCCUGAUGCAGCGACGCCGCGUGGGGGAUGACGGCCUUCGGGUUGUAAACUCCUUUCGCUAGGGACGAAGCGCAAGUGACGGUACCUGGAGAAGAAGCACCAGCUAACUACGUG